AAGUACAUUUCCAUGUACUGUGGAAAUUCUUGUUUUGUGGUAGGUUGUGUCACAUUUCUCACAAUAAGCAGACUUCAACCAGCUUGGCCAUUCCUGAAAACGAGGCCCAAAACAUUUCUUUCAAAACCUUCCUUUUCAAGAAUCUUUCUUUGUGUAGUCUCAUGCAAAGUAGUGUUGGUGGCAAAGAGGGCUUUAAAGGAAGAAACACACCAUAUGAAUAGCAAGGAAUAUUAAGUCAACCCAAUUCUCCACUCCAAGAGGCAGAAAACAAGCUUUCUUGCAAACCAGUGGCAAGAAGUGUUUUUUAGACGAGAGGAGUUUGGGAACGGAGGAGGGGAGAAAGCCUCCUUACUCCACACCAGGACAGUGCACAGGGCAUUUAAUAAGAGUGGUAAUGAUAACAAACAUUUACAUAGCACUCAUUUUAUGCCAAGAACUUUCUGAGCAGUAUUAUCUGUAUGCAGGUCAGUGAAGCCUCCCACACCCCCACGACAUAGCUCUGUUUUUAUCUUCUUUUUGUGUAGGAAACUGAGGUACAGAGAGAUGACAGGACUUGUCAGAGAUCACACAGGCGGUGUGGCCUACUAUGGUUUUGCCAGCUUUGCAUGUAGACAAAGACAAGUGUUCAGAGGAUGUGAUUUGUGGUCUCCCAGAAAGAGACCUCUCACCCCUACCCCAGUCAAAAAUAUUUCCGUGAUGCUUUCUGAGAUUCGUAUCUUGGCAUCUGAAGACUGACAGAUAAAAACUUCAUUUGAGGUUGUUUCACAGCUGUACCUGAACAUUGGCUCCACUAAAGGAAGAGAAUUGAAAGGGAAUUUGAAUUUCCAAGCCGAACAACAGAAGCAACAGUGUUGCCAUAAUCUGCAGGCUCUAACUUGAACACAGAAAAGCAGGAUGCCUCCUCAGAGAUAAACUGCCUUAAGAAAGAAGGAGAUUGUUCCACGGAUGUUAUCAAAGCUUAAUGAACUAAAUAUUGUCCUUCUCUCCAGGUAUGGGUUUUGGCACUAUUUCCAUUUCCAAUGGAGUUGAAGUUAUUCAUAGAACGUUACCUUUUAUAAAAUCCUGACAAGCAAAUCCCCACCAAAUCCCUAAAAUGGAAAAAUUCAAACCCAGUCCAUCUGGCUCUCAUGCUGUCUUAGCCCUACCCCCACCUCCCAAUAAUGAUUCCCUAGGGCAGUAAGGGUGGGCAGGCGGGCAGUGUGAGGACCUGUGCUGCUCACAUGUGGUUUCUGCAGGAAAAGAGGUCACACGUUGCUUAUGAGGAAGCUCUACUUCUGGCCCUGCAGGCAGUUUGCCAUCCCAAACCCAACCAGCCAACCAAACAACGCCCCCACCCCAAGAAUUUGUACCUUAAAGGAAAUAGAACUUGAGGUAAAUGAGAAAAAAAAUAAAUAAAACAUCUAUUCAAAGCAUCAGAUGCCUUAGUGAGCAGAAGAAUGACACCUUCCUGGAAUUAAAGUAAUGGAAGCUGUCUUUUAACAUGUUAAUUGUCUAUCUCUGCUUGCUUCCUCUUAGCUUUACCCGGUACUCCUGAAAACUCACAGCGUUCCCUCCCUCCUGCUUUUAAUCGCGCUGUUCCCAGGCCACAGCCCUCUCUGUAGCUGUCCAGGAAUCCUAAUGGUUCAAGGUCUUGCUGGACUUUCUAUUCCUCCUGAGACUUCCCUUCUUCCUGCUGCCUUUUCAUUAUUCUAUAAUUUUUUUCAGUUACAUUUUUAACUAUGUAGGAGCAAAGACCAUGUCUUGUAGUUUUAAAAGGCCACAUCUCUUACAGUGCCUGGUUAUAGUUCUGGGCACACAGUAGAUGUAAAUUGAAUACAUUUUAUCUGAUGUUUCGAAGACCUGCCUUUUACUUGACCAGAAAAUAAGAAAAUUUUGCCAAGUCUUUUAUCCCUUUCAAAAUAGAAUUUUUAAUUAAAAUGUUUAUUUUUUUAUUUUUGAGACAGAGAGAGAGAGAGCGAGCGAGCAUGAGUGGGGGAGGGGCAGAGAGAGAGGGGGACAGAGGAUCCAAAAUGGGCUCCUGGCUGACAGCAGAGAGCCUGAUGCGGAGCUCAAUCUCAAGAACCCUGAGAUCAUGACCUGAGCUGAAGUCAGAUGCACAACCGACUGAGCCACCCAGGUGACUCCUUUCAAAAUAUGAUUAAUAAGACUUUGAGAAAAACCCUGCUUCCUUUAUGUUUUAAAAUUUCUCUGCUCAUAGGAUUCUCGGAUUAAUGCAAGGCUGCAUCCUGGACAGUGAACAUUAGAACAUUAGAACAUUAUACUUUCAGGUAAGCAGGGAAGGGGGCCAGGUGUGCCUGAAAGUCAUCUGGAAGAGUGAGGAUGGUAGAAACACCAAACUAGAAAAUAAAAUUCGUAAACAUUGUAGAGGUUUUACUGUUACCCUAAAGAUCAUUCCAAAUGUACCAGACAACAACCUCAAAUUCCCAUGACACUAAACAAGCAGGGCUUCUGGCAAAUCAUCGCUUUUCGCUUGCCUGUUUUUCUUGAUUCGACAAAGAAAACAACAUGUAAAUGGGUCUCAGCGUAGUGGCCAAAGGAAAAAGGAAAGCCUCAAACUCAGAAGGUCGUGAGUGUGCGAUGACCUUUAGUUACUUUUCUCCUUUUUAUCUGCUGCUGUUUGUGAUUCAGGAAAAACGGCUCUUCAUGUUGUCCAGGCUAAACCUGCUCUGGCUUUCCUUUCCAUUUUUAAAAGGCUCUCAGCAGAUGCUAUCUUCUGGAAAACAAAACAAAACAAAAACAGCACAAACCCACAGAUCACUCUCCCUCCCUCCCUGUGUAAAACCUGCACGCUCUGAAGUGAGAAAACAGUGGUUCUUCUGUCUUUUUAUUUCUCUGUGCGCAAUGGUAACUUUGGCUGUGUGCUUACGUCUCAUAGAACCUUCUUAUUUUAGGGUAUUUACAUUAUGUUCUUUGUUGCAAAUUCACAUUAGAGAAUAUAGCUAGGGAAGGUUGUACUAAUUACAGCAUAAAUCAUUACAGUGGCUACACAACAGAGGCAGUUGAUAGAUGGAUUAUCGAAAAGGAAACGCUCUAUCAUCAUUUUCUGUUCUCUUGGCAGAAAUGCCAUUUAUAUGAGGCAAGCAGGUCUGGUUAGUUCUGUUGCUGAUUUUAAUCCUUCCUAUUUUUCCUUCCUUCUUGCCUCCUCCCCCGCCCCUCCCAUUCUCAGCCUGCUAUGCAGGGGUUCUAAGGUAUAAAGACAUCCCAGAGUCCAGUAUUUGCCCACUUAAUAUAGGAAGAAGGACACGGGCUUAGGUCUGCUGCUUUCGUUAAGAUCAACUUGUGUAGCCGCAUUUUAGCUCAUGGACACAGAAUCAAACUUCUAAAAAUGUUUGGUUUCCAUGUUUACUCCACUCAAUGUGAUUCUUGGUAGUGUCUGACUCAUUAUGUCACACAGAUUUUUCCACAUAUUUUAACAUGUAUUUCCCUCCAGUCCUUGUUGAAUUAAAUUUCAGUGCUCCUUAGUUCUUGCUGAUGAUUCUUUUUCAGGAAUGGUGUAAUAGUAAAUUAAAAAAAAACAAAACAAAAACACAGUUCCUGGGAAAUCUGACAUUUUUAAGGCGUGUUUUGAUUUUGCAAGAAAAUGAGUGUGACUUUUUUUUCAGUCCCUGCCCAGCUAUUUGAGAAAAAUCAGAAAGUGGAAGCUAGAUAGGGGCUAACGUGUGUCCCAGUGUGUGAUGAGGAAUAGUCAAUAAUCACUUGUGAAGCCCCUGGAGUUUGCCUGUCACUAUGGAGACAAAUAAUAAUGUAUCUGUAAUACUGUAUCGGUAAUAUUAUCAAUAAUAUUAGCUGGAGUUAUGAACACCUUUGGUUUUGAAACGAGCUUUGAAACCCAAGGGUAAUAAGAAUAGAGCAACCAGGAGUUCAGGACUCACAAAACAUGUAUACCUUGGAGUGAGGGAAAGACCCACGUCUAUUUGUUCAGCUUGCAGAAGAAGAGAUCAAAAUGAGAUGUGAAAAAGGGAGCAGGCUCUGUCCCCAUUGUCCCUCAAGGCCUUCUAGAAAUAGUCUAGCAGAAGUUGGGUGACUAAGCUUCUGGAAUGUUCAUGCAAAAUUCUUUCACUGGGUGAGAGCAUGGGGCAGAUGGUAUCUGUGGUCCGUCCAUUAGACAUGGAGAGAAUUCAAGUCACCCAGUGGACAAAAGCACAGGAUGUCAUCGGGGCCGAAGCUGGCAGUCUGGCAUUGAGACUUUCUGGUGGCGUGGGGCUCUCACCCCAUUUCACAUAGUGGUUCCCCUUGCUUCCGGUUUGCUGUGAGCUGUGAGGGUGUGGUCCCAGUUCACAGCCAGGGAAGUCAGCAAGCAGGCACCAGGGGAGGGGGCUGCUAGGAGCCAGGAGCACCCAGGCUACUGUCACAAGUCAGGGUCGCAUAUUUUGUCUGGUCAGACGGUGUGGGGAAUUUGUUUAUCGUUACCAGGCCUAAGUUAUUCUUCCAUUAGGAUCACAAGAGUUUCCUCUUGCUCAUUUUAGAGAAGUGAGGAGGGUGAAAGUUCAAGGUGUUUGUGGAGAUUGCCAAAGAACACUCUUCUAAAAGCUAGAGACCCUUUCAGUGAGGCCCCAAGCACAGUGUGAACGGAAUACCAAACAUCAGUUAAGAUCUGUGUGUCAUCCAGGGAGUCAGCUGUCAUGGAGAUUUUCACUAUAUUGUCACUAAGGCAUCACAGAGACAGCCUAGUCCUGGAAUGGCUUUGGUGUAGCAAAGCCCAUAGGAAGAAAAGAAAAGGCAAGUGUGGGCUUCGGAGAGUGAGAGCGAUAUAUGAGAAAUACAUGGAUGUAUGGGGAGGUGGAGGAGAGAAAUCACUACGGGAUGGGAAUUUGAAGCAUGGAAAUAGGAAAGGAAAAAGAGACAUUCUUUGGAUGCUAACAGAUCAACUAAAAAAUGAGAUUGACUAGGGCACCCGGGUGGCUCAGUCAGUUAAGCAUCUGACUCUGGAUUUUGGCUCAGGUCAUGAUCCCAGGGUCAUGAGAUUGAGCCCCGUGUGGGGCUCUGAGCUGGGUGUGGAGCCUGCCUGGGAAUCUCUCUUUCCCUCUCCCUGUGCCCCUCUCUCACUCUGUCUCUCCCUCUGAAAGAAAGAAAGAAAGAAAGAAAGAAAGAAAGAGAGAAAGAAAAUGAGAUUGACUUAUAGAAACAGAGAUCCCUAUUAACUAAGUUAGAGGAGAAGCAGUAGAGAUAAUUCUGUUCCAUCUAAAAUAGGAGUCAGCCUCUCUUCUUUCUGUGCCUCAUCUUCCCUGUGAAGCAGGGCUCUUCUCUGAUGACAGGUGUUACCUGACCCACCCCCACCCUAAGGUCUGAAAGUAGACACAGCCCUUGGUUCAAUCCAGGACCCAGGUAGGGCAAUCACACUGAUACACACUUGAAGUAGACUUGAUUUCUCCCCCAAAUCAGGUAAAGGAUAGCUUUGUAUCCCAAAUUUCAUUUUAGUAGAAAUCAGGAAGUUUAAGAAGUCCAUGGGAAAGGACAUUUUUCAUUUCAUUUGUUUUCAUUUUGACAACAUUUGAUCUGAAACACAAGAACCUAGAGGUGGUUUUUAAAAACUGGUAGUGACAACAAUAAAACACCUGUGAAUGAGAUAUUCAGGCUAAGCCAGAGACCAGUCUCAGUCCCGGUUUCCUGUGCAGCGGGGGAGAAGGAUACCCAUCUUUGUGGAAGGGGAAAGAGAAGUCAUGCUUGUUGAGUGAUGCCCCCAGCUCAGGAACUGGACCAAGCACUUAAAUAGCUGCAAUCUCAUGUAUUCACCAUAACCUCGAAAUUACGUGUCAUUAUUUAUUAGUGUUAUGCAAAAGAGGAAAAUGUGACUUUGUCACAUAGGAGAAAAAGAAUAUAUAGGUACCAUGAUAUUUUGAACUAUAUCCUCCAUUUAUUGGGUAUUUGGGGCUUGGAUUGAAGCCUAAGUGUCUAUUCUUGGCUUUCUUUUGAGAAAUUGCCACCUCGUCUCUUCGGUGAGAGUACAUUGAUAGCCUGUUAUUCCUGUCAUUGUCACUCCCUGGAUGCUACUCCUCUCACUGAGAUGGUAAGAAGGGCUGGAGAUCUGUAAGCCAUGGUUCCCCGCGAUCCUGAGUCUUCACCUGUGGCUCCUGAAGGUGAUCUCUGAGGAAGCUCGGGUAAGCCUUGUAGGCAGACAGUGGGACAUCUCACCUGACCCUCUACCAAUUCAAGUUAAGCAGCUCUUUUACUUCUGAUGGAGAGUUCCUGUGGGAGCAGCAUGGAGCACAUGUCUCCUCCCUGUGAGAUCCGGUCUUAGAAUGUGGUUAGGGACUGAACUGUGCCUUCUCCAAACCCUAAUUCAUAUAUUUAAACUCUAACCCUCAAUGUGACUAUAUUUGGAAAUGAAGUCUGUGAGGAAGUUGAAUAAGGUCAUAAGGGUGAAGCCUUAAUCCAAUAGGACUAAUGUCCUUUUAAGAAGAGGAAGAGACACAAAAGAUUUCUUUCUCUCCCUGUGCACAGAGCAGAGGCCAUGUGAGGACACAGCAGGAAGGCAGCCAUCUUCAAGCCAGGAAAAAAAGCCUUUCCAACAACCAACCCUCAUGGCACCUUGAUCUUGGACUUCUAGCCUCCAGAGCUGUGAGAAAGUAAAUUUCUGUUGUUGAAGCCA